AGUGAACGCUGGCGGUAGGCCUAACACAUGCAAGUCGAACGGCAGCACAGUAAGAGCUUGCUCUUACGGGUGGCGAGUGGCGGACGGGUGAGGAAUACAUCGGAAUCUACUUUUUCGUGGGGGAUAACGUAGGGAAACUUACGCUAAUACCGCAUACAACCUACGGGUGAAAGCAGGGGAUCUUCGGUCCUUGCGCGAUUGAAUGAGCCGAUGUCGGAUUAGCUAGUUGGCGGGGUAAAGGCCCACCAAGGCGACGAUCCGUAGCUGGUCUGAGAGGAUGAUCAGCCACACUGGAACUGAGACACGGUCCAGACUCCUACGGGAGGCAGCAGUGGGGAAUAUUGGACAAUGGGCGCAAGCCUGAUCCAGCCAUACCGCGUGGGUGAAGAAGGCCUUCGGGUUGUAAAGCCCUUUUGUUGGGAAAGAAAAGCAGCAGGUUAAUACCCCGCUGUUCUGACGGUACCCAAAGAAUAAGCACCGGCUAACUUCGUG
rnacentral:rRNA from 1 species